rnacentral:rRNA from 1 species
AGUGAACGCUGGCGGUAGGCCUAACACAUGCAAGUCGAACGGCAGCACAGGAGAGCCUGCUCUCUAGGUGGCGAGUGGCGGACGGGUGAGGAAUACAUCGGAAUCUGCCCAGUCGUGGGGGAUAACGUAGGGAAACUUACGCUAAUACCGCAUACGACCUUCGGGUGAAAGAGGGGGAUCGCAAGACCUCUCGCGAUUGGAUGAGCCGAUGUCGGAUUAGCUAGUUAGCGGGGUAAUGGCCCACCAAGGCGACGAUCCGUAGCUGGUCUGUGAGGAUGAUCAGCCACACUGGAACUGAGACACGGUCCAGACUCCUACGGGAGGCAGCAGUGGGGAAUAUUGGACAAUGGGCGCAAGCCUGAUCCAGCCAUACCGCGUGGGUGAAGAAGGCCUUCGGGUUGUAAAGCCCUUUUGUUGGGAAAGAAAUCUUUCAGGCUAAUACCCUGGGAGGAUGACGGUACCCAAAGAAUAAGCACCGGCUAACUUCGUG